rnacentral:rRNA from 1 species
UACGUAGGGGGCAAGCGUUGUCCGGAAUCAUUGGGCGUAAAGCGCGUGUAGGCGGCCCGAUAAGUCCGCUGUGAAAGUCCAGGGCUCAACCCUGGAAUGCCGGUGGAUACUGUCGGGCUCGAGUCCGGAAGAGGCGAGUGGAAUUCCUGGUGUAGCGGUGAAAUGCGCAGAUAUCAGGAGGAACACCAAUGGCGAAGGCAGCUCGCUGGGACGGUACUGACGCUGAGACGCGAAAGCGUGGGAGCAAACAGGAUUAGAA